AGAAAGCUAGUGGACGGGAGAAGGCAAUAAAACUUCAAGCACAAACCCUACCUGUUGACCCAAGAAAGGAUUUCCACCAGGUCCACCAAUGGCAACCUGACCAAUCUUUUUGCUGAACCCAAAUCUCUCAACCAUCUGCCUUGCCACACGUGAAACUUGCAUGAAAUCAUUGGAUGCUCCAGUAGUCACAUUUUCCUGACCAAAAAUCACUUCCUCGGCAACCCUACAGAAGUAAAAAUCGUAGGUUCGGUAAAACACAGGCAAUUCCCUUAUUUGCAUAAAAUUUCUUUAACUCAAAAAAUAAAGCUCGCAGUUCAACUAAGGUCCAAACUAAAGGGAAAUUUGAUGAUGCUUGCUCACUCUAGAAUAGCAACUUGAAGAGCAGGAAAGUACUCAUAUGCCUUGCUACAAUUUUUCCCCUGGAACUAGGCCAAUCAAUACGAGUAGAACUAACCUUCCACCAAGUGCAACAGCCAUUUGAUUCUCCAGGUAGCUUCUACUGUACAAUCCAGACUCGAGCCUUUCCUCACUUGGAGCAAAAAAUGUUAGACCACCAGCUUGGCCACGAGGAAUGAUGGAUAUCUUGGCUACUGGAUCAUAUUCAGGCAUAAGGGCACCAACCAAAGCAUGCCCAGCCUCUGCAAAUGGAGAGUAACACACAUAAUUAGCCUCACAAAAUUGAAUCCUGGGAUAUAACAAGAGACCAGAGGAAAGGCAAAAAGGUUAUCAUGCAUUUUACCGUGAUAGGCAACUAAUUUUUUCUUUUCAUCCGAGACAACAGCAUUUUUCUUUUCUGGUCCUGCAAUGAUCCUCUCCAGAGCAUCAGAAAUCUCAUCUUUGCUUAUUUCCUUAAGGUCACGCCGAGCUGCAAGAAUGGCUGCUUCAUUCAUCAGGUUCUGCAAAUCAGCUCCAGUAAAUCCUGGGGUCCUCCGUGCAAUCUUUUCAAAAUCCACAUCCUUUGCAAGUGCCUUCCCUCUAGAAUGCACCUAUAAUUCAUAAUAAAAGUAAAAUUGUUCACUAUUCUAAGGUCAAGCAAGAACAGAAUUUGUAGACAAUGGGACAGCCUUACAAAACAACCUGAUUCUAGGAUGCAUUAUCAGACAAAUCAAUCUAGUAUCCAUAAUCACACCAAUUCAGAACAGUCCAUUUUUCUCUAGAAACAAACAUAUCAUAUUAUAGAAAAUUUAUUUAGUAUGCAGUGUCGGACCAAUUAAUAACUAGACCAGAAAACCAUCAUUUUGCAGAGAAUUUAUCUUAUAACACCAAUAUUAACAUUCAGAGUUUAGCUGCCCUAAACUACUGCCUCUUAAUAGACACGACAGGACACACACACAUGCACGCAAACACAUUCUGCUUCAAUUGUUUGUUUCCUUUUCCUAAUCUAUGUCCUCAAUACAUCUUUACGAGGAAUAGAACAACUUGGUUGGCAUUGUUGAACUUACCUGAAGAAUCUUGACUCUACCAGCGACAUCAGGCCUAUCGACUGUAACCUGUCUAUCAAACCUUCCCGGUCGCAACAAAGCCGAAUCAAGGACAUCGGGUCUAUUUGUAGCAGCCAACACAAUAACACCUGAAUUACCCGAAAAUCCAUCCAUUUCAGUCAACAACUGAUUAAUGGUCUGCUCUCUCUCAUCAUUCCCCCCUCCAAGUCCAGCCCCUCUCUGCCUCCCAACCGCAUCAAUUUCAUCAAUAAAGACAAUGCAGGGCGCUUUUGACUUUGCUUUCUCAAACAAAUCUCUCACUCUCGACGCCCCCACUCCAACAAACAACUCAACAAACUCCGAGGCUGCGCACGAAAAGAACGGCACCCCCGCCUCUCCUGCCACAGCUCUGGCCAACAAUGUCUUCCCAGUCCCUGGCGGCCCAACUAAUAAACACCCUUUAGGAAUUUUAGCUCCUAAGGCUGUGUACUUAUCAGGAUUUUUCAAGAAAUCAACCACCUCUUGUAACUCCAAUUUAGCCUGAUCAGCUCCGGCCACAUCAGCAAACGUCACACCGGUUUCCGGCACUUCUUGAAACUUCGACUUCGACCGGCCAAAAUCCAUCGGUCCACCCAACCCACCGGGUCCACCUGGCCCACCUUGCGCCCGUCGAAACAAGAGAAACAAACCGGCAAAAGCAAGAAAAGGGAACAAAAGAUUUCCAAUAAAAUUAAAGAGCCCAUUACCAGAAUCCCCCUCGGCAACCGAAAUAUCAACGCCGUUCAUCGCUAAAAUGUCGAUCAGAUCAGGGUCAUUAGGGACAAUAACGGCGGCACGACGACCAUCUACGGCGGUGAGUUGUAGGGCAGAACCAUCUUUGCUGAAACGAACUCUUUCCACUUUCCCUUUCUUGACCGCAUUCAGAAACUCGCUGUACCGCCAUUGACUACCUUCAGGAAGGUCAGAGGUUGACUGAGACUGGGGUUUCGGAGCUGUUAAGAGAAGAUUUUGAGCGACAGUAGAGGAUGGUCUGGUGGGCUGGGCUUCAAUAACAGGUGGAGGAGUAGGUGGUGGUGUAGGGUUGUCAAUUGCUAGCGCCUGAGGGGUUAAAGAAGAGAAGAUUAAGGCAGUAGCUAUGGUUGCUUGUGACUGAAGGGAUUUUAAAGACUCAUAAUUCUUUUCAUUCACAAUUUUCUGAAAUUUUUUGGGCAGAAGGAAGGAUAAGGAGGGUCUGGUUGUUUUAGGACAAGGCAAGCUUCGGGAACCAAAGAAGUUUGAAGUGAGUAAAGGGUUUGUAGUUGAUGAUGCCAUGCUCU
rnacentral:lncRNA from 1 species